CAGCCGCCGCGGGAAUACGGAGGGGGCUAGCGUUGUUCGGAAUUACUGGGCGUAAAGGGAGCGUAGGCGGACAUUUAAGUCAGGGGUGAAAUCCCAGAGCUCAACUCUGGAACUGCCUUUGAUACUGGGUGUCUUGAGUGUGAUAGAGGUAUGUGGAACUCCGAGUGUAGAGGUGAAAUUCGUAGAUAUUCGGAAGAACACCAGUGGCGAAGGCGACAUACUGGAUCAUUACUGACGCUGAGGCUCGAAAGCGUGGGGAGCAAACAGGAUUAGAUACCCCCGUAGUCCCUGUCUCUUAUAC
rnacentral:rRNA from 1 species